GCCCAAUAUUACCAACACAGGCUAAAUCCAUGAAAGAGAAAAAUGUCCUCCACCCGACUGCAGCACGAAGCUAUUAAGAAAACCACACAGGCUUCUCAGAAG
rnacentral:lncRNA from 1 species